GUGGGGAAUAUUGGACAAUGGGCGAAAGCCUGAUCCAGCCAUGCCGCGUGAGUGAUGAAGGCCUUAGGGUUGUAAUGCUCUUUUAGCGGGGAAGAUAAUGACGGUACCCGCAGAAUAAGCCCCGGCUAACUUCGUGCCAGCAGCCGCGGUAAUACGAAGGGGGCUAGCGUUGUUCGGAAUUACUGGGCGUAAAGCGCACGUAGGCGGAUUGACAAGUCAGGGGUGAAAUCCCGGGGCUCAACCUCGGAACUGCCUUUGAUACUGUCAGUCUAGAGUCCGGAAGAGGUGGGUGGAAUUCCUAGUGUAGAGGUGAAAUUCGCAGAUAUUAGGAAGAACACCGGUGGCGAAGGCGGCCCACUGGUCCGGAACUGACGCUGAGGUGCGAAAGCGUGGGGAGCAAACAGGAUUAGAAACCCUUGUAGUCC
rnacentral:rRNA from 1 species